AUUGAACGCUAGCGGGAUGCUUUACACAUGCAAGUCGAACGAGUGGCGGACGGGUGAGUAAUAUAUCGGAACGUGCCCUGUAGCGGGGGAUAACUACUUGAAACUGUGGCUAAUACCGCAUAACAUUCGAUCGGCCGCUAUCGGAUUAGCUAGUUGGUGGGGUAAAGGCUCACCAAGGCCACGCUCCGUAGCUGGUUUGAGAGGACGACCAGCCACACGGGGACUGAGACACGGCCCAGAAUCCUACGGGAGGCAGCAGUGGGGAAUGUUGGACAAUGGGGGAAACCCUGAUCCAGCCAUGCCGCGUGUAUGAGAAGGCCUUCGGGUUGUAAAGUACUUUUGGCAGAGAAGCGGUAUCUGCAGAAUAAGCACCGGCUAACUACGUGCCAGCAGCCGCGGUAAUUC
rnacentral:rRNA from 1 species